ACAAUGAAGAGUUUGAUCCUGGCUCAGGAUGAACGCUAGCUACAGGCUUAACACAUGCAAGUCGAGGGGCAUCAGGAAGAAAGCUUGCUUUCUUUGCUGGCGACCGGCGCACGGGUGAGUAACACGUAUCCAACCUGCCCUUUACUCGGGGAUAGCCUUUCGAAAGAAAGAUUAAUACCCGAUGGCAUAAUGAUUCCGCAUGGUUUCAUUAUUAAAGGAUUCCGGUAAAGGAUGGGGAUGCGUUCCAUUAGGUUGUUGGUGAGGUAACGGCUCACCAAGCCUUCGAUGGAUAGGGGUUCUGAGAGGAAGGUCCCCCACAUUGGAACUGAGACACGGUCCAAACUCCUACGGGAGGCAGCAGUGAGGAAUAUUGGUCAAUGGGCGCUAGCCUGAACCAGCCAAGUAGCGUGAAGGAUGAAGGCUCUAUGGGUCGUAAACUUCUUUUAUAUAAGAAUAAAGUGCAGUAUGUAUACUGUUUUGUAUGUAUUAUAUGAAUAAGGAUCGGCUAACUCCGUGCCAGCAGCCGCGGUAAUACGGAGGAUCCGAGCGUUAUCCGGAUUUAUUGGGUUUAAAGGGAGCGUAGGUGGACUGGUAAGUCAGUUGUGAAAGUUUGCGGCUCAACCGUAAAAUUGCAGUUGAUACUGUCAGUCUUGAGUACAGUAGAGGUGGGCGGAAUUCGUGGUGUAGCGGUGAAAUGCUUAGAUAUCACGAAGAACUCCGAUUGCGAAGGCAGCUCACUGGACUGCAACUGACACUGAUGCUCGAAAGUGUGGGUAUCAAACAGGAUUAGAUACCCUGGUAGUCCACACAGUAAACGAUGAAUACUCGCUGUUUGCGAUAUACAGUAAGCGGCCAAGCGAAAGCAUUAAGUAUUCCACCUGGGGAGUACGCCGGCAACGGUGAAACUCAAAGGAAUUGACGGGGGCCCGCACAAGCGGAGGAACAUGUGGUUUAAUUCGAUGAUACGCGAGGAACCUUACCCGGGCUUAAAUUGCAGUGGAAUGAUGUGGAAACAUGUCAGUGAGCAAUCACCGCUGUGAAGGUGCUGCAUGGUUGUCGUCAGCUCGUGCCGUGAGGUGUCGGCUUAAGUGCCAUAACGAGCGCAACCCUUAUCUUUAGUUACUAACAGGUUAUGCUGAGGACUCUAGAGAGACUGCCGUCGUAAGAUGUGAGGAAGGUGGGGAUGACGUCAAAUCAGCACGGCCCUUACGUCCGGGGCUACACACGUGUUACAAUGGGGGGUACAGAAGGCAGCUAGCGGGUGACCGUAUGCUAAUCCCAAAAUCCUCUCUCAGUUCGGAUCGAAGUCUGCAACCCGACUUCGUGAAGCUGGAUUCGCUAGUAAUCGCGCAUCAGCCACGGCGCGGUGAAUACGUUCCCGGGCCUUGUACACACCGCCCGUCAAGCCAUGGGAGCCGGGGGUACCUGAAGUACGUAACCGCAAGGAUCGUCCUAGGGUAAAACUGGUGACUGGGGCUAAGUCGUAACAAGGUAGCCGUACCGGAAGGUGCGGCUGGAACACCUCCUUU
rnacentral:rRNA from 1 species